AUUGAACGCUGGCGGCAUGCCUUACACAUGCAAGUCGAACGGCAGCACGGGAGCAAUCCUGGUGGCGAGUGGCGAACGGGUGAGUAAUAUAUCGGAACGUGCCCAGUCGUGGGGAUAACGUAGCGAAAGCUACGCUAAUACCGCAUACGAUCUAUGGAUGAAAGCGGGGGAUCGCAAGACCUCGCGCGAUUGGAGCGGCCGAUAUCAGAUUAGGUAGUUGGUGAGGUAAAGGCUCACCAAGCCGACGAUCUGUAGCUGGUCUGAGAGGACGACCAGCCACACUGGGACUGAGACACGGCCCAGACUCCUACGGGAGGCAGCAGUGGGGAAUUUUGGACAAUGGCGCAAGCCUGAUCCAGCAAUGCCGCGUGCAGGAUGAAGGCC
rnacentral:rRNA from 1 species